ACUUUUAAAGGAUAAUAGAAAUCCGUUGAUUUUAGGCAUCAAAAACUCUUGGUGCAAUACCAAGUAAAAGUA
rnacentral:tRNA from 1 species